AUCAUUUUUCUCUUCUCCUCCACCGAAAAUGGCAGAAAAGAAAGGGGUUUUGAAGCUCUGAAAUAUCAGCCACUUACAUCCCUUGCUAAUGAUGAAAAUCGAGAUUUGGACCUAGAACGGAAAGAAAUCGAUUAAGGGAUAAUUACGUCUUUUUUUACCUUUGUGGUAUCGAGGUAAGUUCAUAUGUAAAUGUUGGUAACAUAGUUAUUAUUUUAAAUGUUUUGAUGUUAUUUAAAUGAUAUGAUAAUUAUUAUGAGAUAUUAUACUUGUGAUAAUUGUUUGAUAA